AAAUACUGAGUGGGUGCUUCUCUGGUGUGCCUAAAAUGUUCGCUACUGCAGUGGGGAUUCACCUAAAUGCAUGGUGACCAUGAAGUGUCCUUGCAUUGGCGUUGGCUUUUUAACACGUUUUUUUUUUAUUUUUUCUAAGAGUAAAAUUCCCACCUAAAAUUGAUGUUUGCCCGGCUAUCCCGACUUCAUCGACACUUCAACGACACACGGGAACUUAUAACUACGCGCCCUGUUGAGAUGUUCUCUAGGCUGCGUCAUGCUUGGGCUCCCUCCAGGCGGUAGACUUUGAAACUAACGCACCUCUCGGUACCCAACGAAAGGCCGUGAGACUUGGGACCGGGGCCCCUCAACAUUUUUGAAAGAUAGGGCUUGUGUUUAGCAUACAUCAGCAUGGACUCAAUUUUUGGGGAGAUUCUGAAUCCGAAGAGGGGGGAAGGGAUGUUGUGGACUGGCUCUGCCAACUCAGUGGGAUGAAUGAACCAUCUUUCCUGAGUCCUGACAGCAUGGCAGGCACAUACCGAACAUCUGCAGCUUACUGCAGGAGACAACCCUGGAACAAUUGUAGCUUAGGUGAUAUCACUUUGCAUCGUGCAAGUGGGGGGAGGUGUACGCUGUAAGGAGCAAACAAAAUUCUCCGUCUGGUGCUCGAGCGGAGGAGAACCAAUGUCCAUGUCGCCG
rnacentral:sRNA from 1 species